UACGUAGGGUCCGAGCGUUGUCCGGAAUUAUUGGGCGUAAAGAGCUCGUAGGCGGUGUGUCACGUCGGCCGUGAAAACCUGCAGCUUAACUGUGGGCGUGCGGUCGAUACGGGCAUCACUGGAGUUCGGCAGGGGAGACUGGAAUUCCUGGUGUAGCGGUGAAAUGCGCAGAUAUCAGGAGGAACACCGGUGGCGAAGGCGGGUCUCUGGGCAGUAACUGACGCUGAGGAGCGAAAGCGUGGGUAGCAAACAGG
rnacentral:rRNA from 1 species